rnacentral:rRNA from 1 species
UACGUAGGGGGCAAGCGUUGUCCGGAAUCAUUGGGCGUAAAGAGCGUGUAGGCGGCUCGAUAAGUCCGCUGUGAAAGUCCAGGGCUCAACCCUGGGAUGGCGGUGGAUACUGUCGGGCUCGAGUCCGGAAGAGGAGUGUGGAAUUCCUGGUGUAGCGGUGAAAUGCGCAGAUAUCAGGAGGAACACCAAUGGCGAAGGCAGCACUCUGGGACGUGACUGACGCUGAGACGCGAAAGCGUGGGGAGCAAACAGG